rnacentral:rRNA from 1 species
GACGAACGCUGGCGGCGUGCUUAACACAUGCAAGUCGAACGGAAAGGCCCUGCUUUUGUGGGGUGCUCGAGUGGCGAACGGGUGAGUAACACGUGAGUAACCUGCCCUUGACUUUGGGAUAACUUCAGGAAACUGGGGCUAAUACCGGAUAGGAGCUCCUGCUGCAUGGUGGGGGUUGGAAAGUUUCGGCGGUUGGGGAUGGACUCGCGGCUUAUCAGCUUGUUGGUGGGGUAGUGGCUUACCAAGGCUUUGACGGGUAGCCGGCCUGAGAGGGUGACCGGCCACAUUGGGACUGAGAUACGGCCCAGACUCCUACGGGAGGCAACAGUGGGGAAUAUUGCACAAUGGGCGGAAGCCCGAUGCAGCAACGCCGCGUGCGGGAUGACGGCCUUCGGGUUGUAAACCGCUUUCGCCUGUGACGAAGCGUGAGUGACGGUAAUGGGUAAAGAAGCACCGGCUAACUACGU